UGAAGUUCUUCUUCAGAUAAUCAACUUUGUGAACGAGAAAAAGGACCAUAUUCCCUCGAUAGAAAAUCUUGAGGGUACCUCAUUUCCCUUUGAGAUCACCAUCUCAAGUUUAUCAGAUUCUGCUUUUGGGAUGGAACUGCUCAAGAGAAUGCUCCCGCAUGGCAAUCGACCAUGCUCGGCUGACUUUCAGUUUCUAAAGGGAUCUGAUUUUGUUUAACUUCAUGAUUGGGGUAAGGUACAAUUGUUGUCAUCUGAUGUCUGAAAAUGGUGAAUGUUAGUUGUAAAUGGGGGA
rnacentral:misc_RNA from 1 species